UUCCCAUCAUAAAUAUCCAAGGGUGUGACUGAGCCAUCACUGAACUGGACCCAGCAACUGAUGGCUGCUUCCUAUUGAGAAAAAUAUGUGUUAAAAGGAAGAUGGGCCCUUGGGCUGUUCAGAAUCGACUUCUGAACAAUAAUAAAUUGCACGACAAAGGAAAUUACUG